rnacentral:lncRNA from 1 species
UUUCAUCAAAGAGUGUCCAUUCCAUUACACAAGACCAAUUUUACAAGGAUCCAUACAAAAUUACAAAAAAAAAAAAAAAAAAAAAAAAAAAUAUUUUGACCUAUAAUAGAAUUUUGGGUCAAUCAGUUGACCAAAGUCAACUAACCUAAUCUCUAAUCCUAAUCCUAAUUUUCAAUUUAUUUCUUCACUCUUCCAUUUUAUCAUUUGACUUCACAUCCAA